rnacentral:misc_RNA from 1 species
UCUCCGUUGGUGAACCAGCGGAGGGAUCAUUACAGGACUCGCAAGACUCCUACAACCCUGUGAACUUAACUAUAAGCACGUUGCUUCGGCGGGUGUCUCGGAGGGGGUUCUCCCUCCCCGAGACGCUAAACCCGCCGGCAGCCUACUAUUCUCUGUCUCUUUGCGUUGGCAUCUCGAGUACAAUCAAACAGGUUAAAACUUUCAACAACGGAUCUCUUGGUUCUG